rnacentral:rRNA from 1 species
GACAGAGGGUGCAAACGUUGUUCGGAAUUACUGGGCGUAAAGCGCGUGUAGGCGGCUAAGUAAGUCGGGCGUGAAAUCCCACGGCUCAACCGUGGAAGUGCACUCGAAACUGCAUAGCUAGAGUCCUGGAGAGGAAGGUGGAAUGCUUGGUGUAGAGGUGAAAUUCGUAGAUAUUCGCAAGAACACCAGUGGCGAAGGCGGCUCACUGGCCCGAUACUGACGCUGAGGCAUGAAAGCGUGGGGAGCAAACAGG